rnacentral:rRNA from 1 species
UACGUAGGGUGCAAGCGUUGUCCGGAAUUAUUGGGCGUAAAGAGCUCGUAGGCGGUUUGUCGCGUCUGCUGUGAAAGCCCGGGGCUCAACCCCGGGUCGGCCGUCGAUACUCUCGUGCUUGAGCACUGUAGAGGCAGGUGGAAUUCCGGGUGUAGCGGUGGAAUGCGUAGAGAUCCGGAAGAACACCGGUGGCGAAGGCGGCCUGCUGGGCAGUAGCUGACACUGAGGCGCGACAGCGUGGGGAGCAAACAGG